UCCAUUUUUGCAGCUACAAACUGAAGUGCAAUUAACUUCUUUGAAAAAUGCAUCUUUAUGCACAUCUGGCUUGACCUGAUUAUGCAAUCUCGCUGUGCAGAGGCUUUUGCACAAGUGUGGCCACUGCAAGGAGGAACAUUACGGAUUUCACCGGGUACAGAAUGGUCACUCUGAUAGUUCAUUCAUCUCGAAAAACAUGCUGGUGGCAGAACCAAUGCUAAGAUGGUGUUCAGAUGUUGCCUUCGCACUGUCCUCACAUUUAUAAAGCUUGGACCUCACAAAGCUCAGGGAAGACCUGCUCACUUCUGAGUCACAAGGUGUAUGGAUGGCUUGUUCUGUAUAAUUAUGUGGAAACAAUGUUAGAUGUAUUACUUUUCUGGAAAUAAAAUAAAGAUAUUCUUCCCAAU